UGGGCCACCCCAACGUUCGCAGGUCUUGAUAUUCAUAGUUUUCACGGGACGUCAGAAUGCCAGUUGUGUCUGACUUAGGUAGUAAAAUGCCACAGUUGUUGCUCGGUUAGCUGUUCAAUUCGGCGAGGAGACAAGCCCGGAUUGUGUUUUUAUCGCAUUUAAAACCCACCCACGUUGCUGCCAGCCAGAUGAUGUACCGCUUGUUUUCCGCCUUGGGUGUUCUAUUCGGAAUGGCCUCAGCGGGUAAGGAACCAGUGGCUGUCCCUAGUCUCCUGAUUUUGUCACAAAAGACACCACAAAUUGGAUAACCAAUCAAGAACUAUUUAUAACUAUAAUGGAACAAAAAGAUGGAGAAAACGGGAUAGUUGACGGCUCUUAUGGCUUAGGGCCGGAGCCAAAGAGGAUAUGUCCUGGGAUGCCAUUCACUUUUACACUGACAUAUAGGAUAAGCGGAGCAGACCUGAUGUUCUACAAGAACGGGGUCGAGAGGAAGGUUGCCACUACCAAGGAGAUUAUAGACCCCCAGUUUCGGCUCAAUGGCAGUGAACCUUAUUUACCCGAGGUCAUGAAAACGCAUGAAGGGAAGUAUUAUUGGAAGGCUCCAUCGGUCGAUUUUGAACUGAAUUACAUCAGACUAAUUCUGAAAGACUGCAGUGUUCGUCAAAAUGUGGUGUACGGUGAGGAGUUGGCCUUAAAUGUGCCGGCGGACGCGUCUGUGUUGGAGUUCACCCCUCACCUCUCAGACCAACACUCCGUCCUGUGGAGACGGAUACACAGAGGGGGGGACGAGGAAGCAAGGGGCGCGGUUAAGGACGGCCGCUGGACAGCACAGAGGAUGACCCAAGCGGAUCAGGGGCGCUACACUUUACUCAGGGAGAGUGGUGGCCAGAUCUCCAGCACUGUGGUCUCUGUUGAAGAACUCCAAAUACAUGCUCACGUGGCUGAUGACGACGUCAGAGAUCACUGGAGAACUGAUGUUAAUAUCUCUGCACGGGAGGCUGUAGUCACUUACUUUACGGCUUUCGGGGGUGAGCAUGUGCUCUUCCGAGACGGCAUGGAGACUGAUGAGGGCUUCGACAUUUUUGGAAAUCGUAUCACACUCCAAAAGUCAACGCUCCAAAAGUCAACUUUCAGCAUCAGCAAAGCGCAGCCAAGUGACGCAGGACGAUACGAGAUCCAUGACAAGAAUGGACAUCUGGCCAUCUCACUGUAUCUGGAGAGAGACCCUGAAGAUGAAGAGUUUUAUCCUACGAGUUUAGCCACUCCUCUUGGCAUAUCUGCGGGCGUGCUGGUUGGACUGCUGUGCUGUUGCUGGUGCUGUUGCAAGUGCUGUGGCAAGUGCUGUGGCCAUGACGAUGGUGACAAGACUGAGUCCGCCGCUGCUUCUCCAGACGCCGAGCAACCCGCUCACAUCCAUGAUCCCAGUGAGAUGUCUGGACCCGGCGACCCCUUGCACCCUCCAUCUUCUGCUCCCUCUUCAGGUGACACCAAUGAACUAACGGCCUCCAUGGCGUACCCCCCCAACCCCUGGGAGAACAGUCCACCUGCUCCUGAUGGAGGAGGAGGAGGUGAUCGUGGUGCUCCCACCGCCCCUUGGGCACCCACCGACCCUGGGCCGCGGUACCAGUCGAGAGCCUGGGGUAGUGGCCAGGAUGACUUUCUCUCCAGCUCUCCUCUCUGCAUGGACAGCGCCACCGACAGCUGCACCUUCACCUCAAACAAUCUCAACUUCUAGACCGAUGCGUUCCGUUGACAACUCUGGAUCGAUGGAGCAUUUUCACACGCAGUGCACUGUGACUUGUGUUGCGUCCUACUGACUGGUACGCUGUGAUUUGGACGCGUAGUUUCACGCUCAAAGGCAACGCGCACUACCUCAUUUGCACUGGGCCUGUUCUGCUGCAGUGCUGGAGUGGAUCUGUCAAUACCACAGACUCUCACGCCAUCCAAAGGGCCACCUUCUUUCUUUGACCUGUUACUCUGUGUCUAAUGUCUGUGAGUCUGUUCGUGUCUGCUAGUGUCUUAUGUCCCUAUCUCAUGUAAGUAGGCCAUUUCAUGUAUCCUUUUCUUAGCUUGCUAGAAUUGGUAGCAAUGCAAGUCUGUGUUAUUUUACAUAUUUAUCAC
ensembl:lncRNA